GACGAACGCUGGCGGCGUGCUUAACACAUGCAAGUCGAACGGAAAGGCCCUGCUUUUGUGGGUUGCUCGAGUGGCGAACGGGUGAGUAACACGUGAGUAACCUGCCCUUGACUUUGGGAUAACUUCAGGAAAAUGGGGCUAAUACCGGAUAGGAGCUCCUGCUGCAUGGUGUGGGUUGGAAAGUUUCGGCGGUUGGGGAUGGACUCGCGGCUUAUCAGCUUGUUGGUGGGGUAGUGGCUUACCAAGGCUUUGACGGGUAGCCGGCCUGAGAGGGUGACCGGCCACAUUGGGACUGAGAUACGGACCAGACUCCUACGGGAGGCAGCAGUGGGGAAUAUUGCACAAUGGGCGGAAGCCUGAUGCAGCAACGCCGCGUGCGGGAUGACGGCCUUCGGGUUGUAAACCGCUUUCGCCUGUGACGAAGCGUGAGUGACGGUAAUGGGUAAAGAAGCACCGGCUAACUACGUG
rnacentral:rRNA from 1 species